rnacentral:rRNA from 1 species
GUGAGCAACCUGCCUCUGACUUUGGAAUAACAGUUGGAAACAGCUGCUAAUACCGGAUAUGACUCACCUUCGCAUGGGGGUGGGUGGAAAGCUCCGGCGGUCANGGAUGGGCUCGCGGCCUAUCAGCUAGNUGGUGAGGUANUGGCUCACCANGGNUUCNACGGGUAGCCGGCCUGAGAGGGCGACCGGCCACACUGGGACUGANAUACGGCCCANACUCCUACNGGAGGCAGCAGUGGGGAAUAUUGCACAAUGGGCGAAAGCCUGAUGCAGCAACGCCGCGUGCGGGAUGACGGCCUUCGGGUUGNAAACCGCUUUCNCCCAUGACGAANCGAAAGUGACGGUAGUGGGAGAAGAANCNCCNGCCAACUACGUGCCAGCANCCGCGGUGAUACGUANGGUGCGAGCGUUGUCCGGAAUUAUUGGGCGUNAAGGGCUUGUAGGCNGUCUGUCGCGUCNGAAGUGAAAACUCGAAGCUUAACUUCGAGCCUGCUUCCGAUACGGNCANACUANAGGGAUGCAGGGGAGAACGGAAUUCCUGGUGGAGCGGUGGAAUGCGCANAUAUCAGGA